GUUGCCAUGAGGUGAGUGGCUUGUUCUGCCCAAUGUGCUCCUGCUCUGCUAUGUUACAUCACCAAAGGCCCAAAAGCCAUGUGGCCAGCAGACAUGGACUGAAACCUCUAAACGGUAUUGGAAAUCUAUCAUGCUUUCCCUCUUUAUGAAAAGGCAUUUGGCAACCAUUUGUCAACUCUUACAAUAGAACUCUCGUGAGUGAGGUUUGGCAUGCACAGGAAGAUAACGUGCAUCUCCUGGGAAGCCAAGUUAUCAUGACGACUAACCAACUCAUGCAAAUAACAGAGAACAAAGAAGUAUAUCUACCUGGGAAAUCCAGAAACCUGAAGGAAAAAAGGACAAAGUAGUGGCCAAGGUGCGUGGCAGUCAUCGUCCAAGAAGACUCCAACUCUCCCUCCUUGUAUUUACGCCAUUGAGUAGGCCUGACCUACUGAGAACCAGGAGGAUCUCAUUGUCAUGAUGAUUUGUGACUUCCAAGUUUAGGUCAUAAAAGAUAUAUGACUUCUGCUUUGCUCUCUCAUGGACCCCGGGGGGAUGCGAGUUACCAUGUUGGGAGCUCAUUCAAACAGCCCUGUGGUAUGGUGGUGAGUUGUUGAUAUUAAUCUGUAAGUCAAUUUUUGGAAAAGUACUGAGUAAUCUUGUGCUGGUUGUAUAACAUUAAACACAUGAUUUAAUGCAAGAAAUUAGACCUA